GAUGAAGAACGCAGUGAAAUGCGAUAAGUAAUGUGAAUUGCAGAAUUCAGUGAAUCAUCGAAUCUUUGAACGCACAUUGCGCCCCUCGGUAUUCCGAGGGGCAUGCCUGUUCGAGCGUCAUUAUAACCCUUCAAGCUCAGCUUGGUGUUGGGGCCUGCUGUAACUGGUAGCCCUUAAAAUCAGUGGCAGUGCUAUUAGGCUCUAAGCGUAGUAAUUCUUCUCGCUAUAGUGUGUAGUGAGCGCUUGCCAGAACCCCAAACUUUUAUAUGAUUGACCUCGGAUCAGGUAGGGAUACCCGCUGAACUUAAGCAUAUCAAUAAGCGGAGGA
rnacentral:misc_RNA from 1 species